UUGUAUAUCCAAAAAUUAUUUAUGAAAUGAGCAUAUUUCUCAUUAAUCGAAAUCAAAUGCAUUUUAGUUCCCGAGUGGCUUGAGCAUCAUCAACCACGAAGCCUCACGCGUGUCUCACGUGGCUGUCACCGUCGUAAUUACCUGCCUUCCGGCGGCGACCAAAACCAUCCGCCCUUUAACGAAUCCCUUCGGUUUCCCUCUCCGUCUGCUCGCCCUCCGACGGGAUACACCCUCCUUCAUUCUGUACACCUUAAUCCCCUCGCGCCACCUUAGACGGCUCGCUUCAUUACACGGUCCUCAAGGAGCUCCACUGCUUUGCUCCCUCACACCCGAUCCCGCCUCGGCUCCAUUUAGCUUCUACUCCUUCCUCCGAUCGCGAUCUCUCCCUUCGCCUUGCUCGUAUCGGAGGAUUUACCCCUUUCGCUCUCUCUCCAAUCCAAGUUCUGAGCUUAAUUCUUAAGCUAUGGCGUCGUCGUCUCUGCCGUUCGCCUCGGGGCCCCCGAGGCCGCGGCCAGGAUUCGCCCGCGCCCCCCAGAUCGGCUGCCUCCAGCGCUCCCCUCCCGCCCUCGCCUUUCUCCGCACCUCUCCCGGCCUCCUCCCGUCCCGGCCCUCCCCAAUUCGCCUCCCGCCCGCCAGCUGCGGCCUUUCCGCAGGGCCUGCCGCUGCCCCUGUGGCCGCUGCUGCAUCGCGGACGUUCACAAGUCCACCGGCUUCGCUGCAAUUCCGUAGACCGCCAAUGUCGCACCCCUUGUCCGGAUGGCCGACCUCGCAGCCGCCCUUCUCUGGAUCACAGCCAGCCUUGGCCGGACCGCCCACCACGCAGCUGCCUUUCAACAGACCGCCCACCACGCAGCUGCCUUUCAACAGACCACCCACAUCGCAUCAACCAUCGACGCAGCAGACAUUCACCAGACCGCCAGUUUCACAGCCGUAUAUGGGCUCAUCAACCUCCCAGCCGUAUGCAGGACGGCCAUCCUCGAUCUUUCGCCACUACAGCUCCAGCUUGGCAGGACUAUCUACCCAACAACGUCGUUAGUGGCAUGCGCAAGGUCGAUGGCUCUCUGCUGAUCGUGGUAUUCCAGAGGCACAUCAGACCUUGGUGAAGGGUUUCAGGUUUUGAUGUACGAAAGCCAAUCCAACUCUUUGAAGAAUGUUGGGUUUUCUAUUGCACUAAUGGGUGCUAUCACAAAGCAGGGCUACGAGAAGCUAACAACAAUACAGUGUCAGGCUCUGCCCAUUGUACUUUCUGGCUUUGAGCCACAACGACAAUCUAUUGUUGGUCAAAUUAGACCAGAUCAGCAGACAUUACUUUUUUUCUGCCACUAUGUCAUACAAAGUUGAACGCUUAGCAAGAGAAAUUCUCUUUGAUCCUGUAAGGAUUACACUUGUAGUGUAAUGGAUGUUCAUUCCUUAGUUUUGUGUCAAGUUAUGUACCACCUUUAAAUGAAGAAAUACAAUGUCCAGUUCAUUCCUAAGAA